AAAAUAGGUGAAGGGGGGCUGCCUUUGCGCCUACCAUGGAGCAAUGUCUGCAUGAAAUUUUUGGCCAAUCCCCUCCGCGUGUUUCGCAGCCAAUCCUAUCCUCCCCUCGGUCUCGUACCAGUCGCCGCACAAACCCUAGCCCCCAUUCCCCUCGAUCCCCAUAGUCUCUCCGCCUCCUCGUCCCGUCACCACGUCCUCCGCCAUGGAGCCUCUCCGCCGCGUGCGUCACCCUUCUCCACCAUACUGCCCUUCCACCUCGCCUUCCUUCUCUUCUCUCACUCGCGGCGGGGACGGAGGUGACUCGAGGCGGCGGCCAGGGUGACUCCACGCGGCGGCUAGCGAAUCCAGGCGGUAGUGGCGGUGAGGCCAUGCGGGCGCCGUCAACCCAAUAUGUUGCCCUGGUCCUGUGGUGGGCGGCCGGGUCAGCGGGUCGGAGCGGGGGCAGUAGGCCGUGGGAAGUCAGCGCCUCCACCCUUCCUCCUCCCCUAGCCCAUUCCCCAAUCAACACAGCCGCCACGCCAAUCCCACCUCCUACCUCCUCCCUCCCGCGUCACCAUAGCCGUCGGUCCCCUCCCUCCAGAUCCAUCUUCUCUCCCUUGUUAGCCGCCGCUGCACGAACCGCGCCAAUCUUUGGGCGCGGCAGGGGCUGAUGGAGUGGCGGAUCCGGGCAUGCUCCCACCCUUAGGUACUCCACGAUGACGGCCAGUUCGGAGGGAGAAGGUAGAAAGCAAUGGCGAGUCCUGCGCCUCUGGGUGGAAGCAGCGGGGUUGGUCGAGCAGGGGAUGUGGUCGGGGUCAGCAGUUGAAGGAGGCUCGCCGGCCGGAGCAGCAGGAGGUGAUUCAGGAGCGCCUCGAGGAGUGGAAGGGAGAGGUCGUGCAGGACAGGCCAACAAGAGCAAUAGAGCAAGGAGGAUAAAAUAUUCGAUCAGCCCUAUAUCUUCUUCUCGAUGCAGCUCCGCAUGAGGAGUCAUGCUAGGUAUCCUGGGGUGAUUCAAGAUGCUUAGGUGUAUCACACUGCAUGGUACACAUGCCAUUUUUGCAGGCUGCUCUGAGAUACACUGAUUUAGAUACGACCACAUGUCUGCAGCAAUUUCUUACUCUUGGUAUAAAGACCAACUCAUGGUGUGGGAAGCAUCUCAUAUGGUUCACCGAAUCAAUUGAUGAAUCUGAAGCGAUUCAAGAGGAGGAGCAAAAACUGGUUAUGCCUAUAGUGAAACGGAAGGCCAUGAACAAUGCGUCUCCGGGAAGUGAAUUUUAUGGUGCCUUGCAUUCUGCUCAUUUGGCGCAAUUGUUCAUCACAAAGUGGAGGGGAGAAGUCUGGCUGCUACUGAUGGGAAAUGGGUGCCUCUCCAGUCAACCGAGCAAUGACAAAUCCAACUGGAAAGGGCUCUGUGGUGAUCUUCAUGUUAUCAGUAAAUCUCAACACAUGGUGUUCCCUUCUUGAUUCCAGCUGGAAAGGAAGCCAUGCGUCGGCGUACGUCAAUGAUUCGGGUGCCUGCGGCAUGACGACAUUGCAGAAGCACGCAUCGUUCUUCGACGGCAAACAAGGAUGCAUUUGUUUUCCAUUCAGUUUCUUUUUGUUCCCUACGCUUUUUCUCAGAGAGAUUUCUCUAAGUGAUUCUCCGUUUGGUGUUCGUUGAUUCUGUCUCACGUACAAUUUAUCCUCCUUGCAUAUCAGCGUUUUGGGCCCUCGGAUUUGGAUUUGCAGCCUCCACAAUGAGUGCCACCUUCAUCAAUGGCGUCCUUGGCCCCCAGAUAAAACCGGUAAUCCUUCGACAACAAAAUCAUACGUCUUUGUCUAUAGGAGUUAUUUUCUCUAUUGGAGUUGAGAAGGAUGACAUAGCGAAGGAGGAUUCCGACAUGGUAGCUCCCACAAUCACGCAGUUGGAGAGCAUGCGCGAGUUCGGUAAACUAUGUAUUCUAUUGGUAUAGCUCUGAAAGGUUAGGAUGCUUUGGGUCGCGGCCUGAACUAUGUAUCUGUGGAUAUUAUUACACUUUCAGCAUGCUAUUUCCUAUUCUUUUGACAUCAGUUUCUGUGAAUUAUGGCUGAACUAUGAUACUUUAGGUUGCAUGCUCAACUAAGUGUAGUGUCAUUACCGCUUUCUCCCCUGAUUGUAUUGUCCUUGCCAUGUUAUCCCCUAAAGGCUUACUCUUGCCAUGUUAUUCCCUAAAUUAUUACUCAUUUCUUCUUUUGCCAGUGCUCCGCUUAUGCAUCAUGUAUUUAGUAGUACCAAAAAACGAGGUAUGCUUCUUUACAUUAAACAGUCUUUCCUUCUCAGUAUAUAUGGAAGUAUAUGGGAUGGCUUCCAUAGAAUACUAGUGUCUGUACUAUAUACUAGAUGAAAAUAAUUUCCUUGCAUGCGAACAUAUGCUAAUUAGUAGCUGCACUACAUUCCUGAAGCUUUUUUUGAACUAUUGGGAAACAUGAGAAAGUUGUUACACAGAAGUAUAUAGUUCUUGUUUCUAUUUCAAACAAAACAAAGGCUAAAAGUUGCUACUUCUGUAGUACUCCUAUAUACAACAAUUAGUGUUCAGCUAGACUGUCAAUCUUACAGCUUGUUACUAACCGCUACCUCUGUAGGCUUAUGCCAGCGCUGGUGAAAAAGCACCUGCGGUUGGGAAGAAAGCAAAGCUGUAGCUAUCAUGCACCAUCCAUGCAUGCAAUUAGUUUACAAAAACAAUUAGAAAUUGUGAUUCUAAUCAGAUUCAUUGUAUUACUGGAUCUUUUGCAUAUCACAAUCUCCUUGCUGACAUCAGGUGAAGUUGUGGUCCAGGAGAAGAAUGAAGAUUUUAUAGCUCUAGCUUCCCCCUUCAGAUAGUCAUGCUCUCCUCCUGGUUUAACAUCCAGUUGUAGUGUGAUAGCUUUGGCACACUUUCAUGUAAUAUAGAUCUCGCAUAUUUUAUCUGUCUACUUGUUUUAUGAGGAAACAACUCGACUAAUGGUUAAUGAUCGGGUGUUGAGAACAAAAGUAGGUGGAAUGCUCAUUGAUCAUUAACUGUC